AGUUGUCGUUGCUUCUCCUACGACAUUUCCUCUUCACCCUUCAAGAUUAUCAAGUGGUCACCAUCACUUCCCACGUAUCACAACCGAUUUCAUCACACUAUUGCAUUAACGAAUCUAUUAGAGUUUCUCAACAUAAGCCCUAGCGAUUAAGGUAACCAACAUAUCAAUUUCAGCUUCUUACUUUAAAUUGAUAAGCGAUAGGUAUUCACCACAUCCUUCUUCAUCUUUCUAUCUGUUCGAACUAUUGAUCAAUGUGUGUGGAUUUAUUAGGUCACUUUCACAGGGCUUAUGUGAGAUGCUGAUUACUUAGGUUUUUGGGGGACGCAGACAUGUGGAUAUCCCAGGUAAUGGGUUUUAACUUAUAUAAAAUGAUUGUUAUAUUUUUGGUUUUUUGGAUUAGGACUCAUGUUUUGGGAGCCUAAUGAUCAACCGCUACUACCAUGCACAACACCUGAGAAAAAAAGUGAUCAACCAUGUGGAGGAUGAUAAACAACAAACAAGGUCACUUGAAGAGCUUAAAGAGACAAUCGUAUAGCCAUCAAGAUUCAAUCUUUUAAUCGUGCAUAUCUGACCUAUUUAAAGUCAAAACAUAGUUUCCGAACUCUGGUUUAUUAUGGCCAUAUCUAUGGUAUUGACACAUGCAUGGAAAGCGUUAAACGGGCUGAGAGGAGUAGUGACGCUCCAAGCAGUGAUUUGGGCUAUACCAUGAGGCGACGAUUCUUAAACAAACUGAAGAACACCAAGUAAAGUUUUGUUUAGUGUAGGUUGUAGGCUUUGAAGGGAUACGAGAUACCGGAGCAGUUGGAAGUUCUCGAGCUGCAGAGAUAUAUGGACUUGAUAUUCUAGCACAAACAAUCCAGGUGUCACCUAAUUAUCAUCUUUUCACAUAUGAAAGUGUUAUAUUCUAACAUCACAUUGUGUGUGUGUCUGUGUGUGAGAGAGAUAGGCUAAUGUUUUACAAAAAACUGAAGUUAUGGACAAAACUGUUUCAGUGUUUUGGUUCAACUUGUACCAAAAAUUUGCCCAU